rnacentral:rRNA from 1 species
AAACAUCGCCUCCUGCAACAUUUACGUAUAGGAGGUCUUGCCUGCCCAGUGAAUAUUUUAAACGGCCGCGGUAUUUUGACCGUGCGAAGGUAGCGCAAUCACUUGUCUUUUAAAUAGAGACCUGUAUGAAUGGUAGAACGAAGGCUUAACUGUCUCCCCCCUCCAGUCAAUGAAAUUGAUCUGCCCGUGCAGAAGCGGGCAUAUAAUCACAAGACGAGAAGACCCUUUGGAGCUUAAGAUAAAAAAUCACCUAUGUCAAAAACUCAACCAAACCCGUUAAACCAAAUAGUGCCUGAUUUUAAUCUUCGGUUGGGGCGACCAUGGGAAAAAAUAAAGCUCCCACGCGGAUCGGGGCCCUGAGCCCUGCAACCAAGAAAGACACUUCCAAGUACUAAAACAUUUAACCACCACGACCCAGUCAAGCACUGAUCAACGAACCAAGUUACCCAAGGGAUAACAGCGCAAUCCUUUUCAAGAGUCCAUAUCGACAAAAGGGUUUACGACCUCGAUGUUGGAUCAGGACGUCCUAAUGGUGCAGCCGCUAUUAAGGGUUCGUUUGUUCAACGAUUAAAGUCCUACGUGAU